AAUAUGGAGAGUUUGAUCCUGGCUCAGAGUGAACGCUGGCGGCGUGCCUAAUACAUGCAAGUCGAACGAUGAAGUCCUAGCUUGCUAGGAUGGAUUAGUGGCGCACGGGUGAGUAAUGUAUAGCUAAUCUUUUCGCUAUGGGAUGAGGCUAUAUUGUAUCAGCUAGUUGGUAAGGUAAUGGCUUACCAAGGCUAUGACGCAUAACUGGUCUGAGAGGAUGAUCAGUCACACUGGAACUGAGACACGGUCCAGACUCCUGCGGGAGGCAGCAGUAGGGAAUAUUGCUCAAUGGGGGAAACCCUGAAGCAGCAACGCCGCGUGGAGGAUGACACUUUUCGGAGCGUAAACUNCNNUUCUUUGGGAAGAAUAAUGACGGUACCAAAGGAAUAAGCNCCGGCUNACUCCGUGCCAGCAGCCGCGGUNAUACGGAGGGUGCAAGCGUUACUCGGAAUCACUGGGCGUAAAGGACGCGUAGGUGGAUAGAUAAGUCUCUUGUGAAAUCUAGUAGCUUAACUACUAAACUGCUUGGGAAACUAUCUAUCUAGAGUAAGGGAGAGGCAGAUGGAAUUCUUGGUGUAGGGGUAAAAUCCGUAGAUAUCAAGAGGAAUACUUAUUGCGAAGGCGAUCUGCUAGAACUUAACUGACACUAAUGCGUGAAAGCGUGGGGAGCAAACAGGAUUAGAUACCCUGGUAGUCCACGCCCUAAACGAUGUAUACUGGUUGUUGCUGUGCUAGUCAUGGCAGUAAUCCACCUAACGGAUUAAGUAUACCGCCUGGGGAGUACGGUCGCAAGAUUAAAACUCAAAGGAAUAGACGGGGACCCGCACAAGCGGUGGANNNNGUGGUUUAAUUCGANNNUACGCGAAGAACCUUACCCGGACUUGAUAUCUAACAAAUCAUCUAGAGAUAGAAGAGUGUCUNCUUGCAGAAAUGUUAAGACAGGUGCUGCACGGCUGUCGUCAGCUCGUGUCGUGAGAUGUUGGGUUAAGUCCCGCAACGAGCGCAACCCACGUGUUUAGUUGCUAACAGUUAGGCUGAGCACUCUAAACAGACUGCCUUCGUGAGGAGGAGGAAGGUGUGGACGACGUCAAGUCAUCAUGGCCCUUAUGUCCGGGGCGACACACGUGCUACAAUGGCAUAUACAAUAAGACGCAAUAUCGCGAGAUGGAGCAAAUCUAUAAAAUAUGUCCCAGUUCGGAUUGGAGUCUGCAACUCGACUCCAUGAAGCCGGAAUCGCUAGUAAUCGUAGAUCAGCCAUGCUACGGUGAAUACGUUCCCGGGUCUUGUACUCACCGCCCGUCACACCAUGGGAGUUGAUUUCACUCGAAGCCCAAAUACCAAAUUGGUUAUGGUCCACAGUGGAAUCANNGACUNGGG
rnacentral:rRNA from 1 species